rnacentral:rRNA from 1 species
CCUACGGGUGGCAGCAGUGAGGAAUAUUGGUCAAUGGGCGGGAGCCUGAACCAGCCAAGUCGCGUGAGGGACGACGGUCCUAUGGAUUGUAAACCUCUUUUGUCGGGGAACAAAGGCGCCCACGGGUGGGCGGAUGAGUGUACCCGAAGAAAAAGCAUCGGCUAACUCCGUGCCAGCAGCCGCGGUAAUACGGAGGAUGCGAGCGUUAUACGGAUUUAUUGGGUUUAAAGGGUGUGUAGGCGGACAGUCAAGUCAGCGGUAAAAAUGCGGUGCUCAACGCCGUACAGCCGUUGAAACUGGCAGGCUGGAGUGGGAGAGAAGUACGCGGAAUGCGUGGUGUAGCGGUGAAAUGCUUAGAUAUCGCGCAGAACUCCGAUUGCGAAGGAAGCGUACCGGCUCCACACUGACGCUGAGGCACGAAAGCGUGGGUAUCGAACAGGAUUAGAUACCCGUGUAGUC